UAACCUACGGGGGGCAGCAGUGGGGGAUAUUGCACAAUGGGGGAAACCCUGAUGCAGCGACGCCGCGUGAGUGAAGAAGUAUUUCGGUAUGUAAAGCUCUAUCAGCAGGGACGAAAAUGACGGUACCUGAGUAAGAAGCCCCGGCUAAUUACGUGCCAGCAGCCGCGGUAAUACGUAGGGGGCAAGCGUUAUCCGGAUUUACUGGGUGUAAAGGGAGCGUAGACGGUUAUGCAAGUCUGGAGUGAAAGGCGGGGGAUCAA
rnacentral:rRNA from 1 species